AUCGAACCCGGGCCGCACGCAUGCCAGGCGAGCGCGCUACCGCUUGAGUCACAUCCCCAGCCCUAAAAUUCUCUUAUUCUUGAUGGAACCUUUUCUUGGUCUUUAUGGAUGUCUGUUACUUCCCUACUGGGAAAUGAUGUGAUUCAGGCUCCUUUGACGAUGCAUUUAGUUGGUAUUGACAUACUGAAAUGAAGCCAUCGGCUCAUUCUUGUGUUCCCUCCCCUCCCCCAGUCCUCUUAAUGGGACCUACCUGGCCCUGGCCCUGUUCCCAGAGCACCCUCCCCUUCCCCUUCACACCCUCCUGGGUCUUUCUCUUGUUUUCCCAGUGAACAUAGGUCAGCAAUCAGCAUCCCAUUAGAGCCUCUAAUUGGGAAUCCACCUUUCCAGUUGCCCCCAUCUUGCCUGGCUGGACUCUGCUCUUGGCUAUUGUGACCCUGCAGGUAUAGGAGGAGCGCCCAUGACCGGCCCUCAUCACCUGUUCGCCUUCCACAGCUCUUCCCCCCGUCCACGGAGACACAGACACACAGAAGGGGCCUCGAAGAAGUCCUGCACAAAUAGGAGUUUAAAUAAAGCUAAGCAGUUCAGACAAGAACUAAUCCAAACCAUCACAGGGGUGCGUUUGUGUGGCGGCCAGAUCAGAGCCACUACGAAGGCCCUCGGCUCCCUGGAAUUCUGUCUGCAGAAUGUGCUUACAAGGCUGGGAGACAGCGGCCUGUUUCAGAUCACGAGCUGGCAUGCCCUGGUUGCCCAUGGCAACCCAGCUGCGCUGGAGUGCUAGCAUUUGUAAAUGUGUGUGGGCUUAAAAUUGUAUUAUUGAUUCUGUCUGAAAGACGAUAGUCUGAUUUGUAUAUAGCUCUGCAUAAAUUACUCAUUAUCCUUUACAGCCAUCAGAGUGUGAGCCUCCCUCUCUUUCUCCUUUUAUUUUUUAUGUUAGAGAGACAGCAAAUUGUGUCAGCAGAUGUGAAAUGAAAUGUUUCCCAUAACAACCAUAGGAGAGGAAUCAAC
rnacentral:lncRNA from 1 species